rnacentral:snRNA from 1 species
GUCUCUUCAGAGACAUCCGAUAAAAUUGGUACAAUACAGAGACGAUUAGCAAGGCCCUUGCGUAAGGAUGACAUGCACAAAUCGAGAAAUGGUCAAAUUUUAA